rnacentral:rRNA from 1 species
UUGUGUCAAAGAUUAAGCCAUGCACGUCUCUGUUCGCUCCUGGAUCGUCGGUGGUCCUUCAUGUACGAGUAAACCGCGAAUGGCUCAGUAGCUCAGUCUCGGUUCCUUAGAUGAUGCGGUUGAUCCCAACUGACCGGACAACUGUGGCAAUUCCAGAGCUAAUACGUGCAACUAAGCCCCGACCCCGACCGCCGUGGGGAAGGGGCGCUUUUAUUAGUUCAAAGCCAGCCCGGCCCCGGCCGGCAACUUUGAUAACUCUGGAUAACACUACCACGAUCGCCGGCUCAGCGCCGGGAGACGCAUCUUACAAAUGUCUGACCCAUCAGAUGUCGAUGGUAGGCUACAUGCUGACCAUGUCGUCGACGGGUGACGGGGAAUCAGGGUUCGAUUCCGGAGAGGGAGCACGAGACACGGCUACCACAUCCAAGGAAGGCAGCAGGCGCGCAAAUUACCCACUCCCGGCACGGGGAGGUAGUGACGAAAAAUACCGAUGCGGGACUCUUUCGAGGCCUCGUGAAUCGGAUUUAGUCUGACACAAACCCUCUCACAAGGGUCCAUUGGAGGGCAAGUCUGGUGCCAGCAGCCGCGGUAAUUCCAGCUCCAAUAGCGUAUAUUAAACUUGUUGCAGUUAAAAAGCUCGUAGUUGGCUCUCGGGUGCGGGCGGGCGGUCGUCGGCCAUCAGGUCGCGCUCUGCCGCCCGUUCUCGUUCGGUCGAUCCAAGCCCGGGUCGCGCGGUGCGGGACGGAGCCCCUGACCGAUGAGCAGCACCUAACCGGUGUUCUCGGUGGCCUUGGGGCUUCCCCCUCCGCGCCGAUCCGGGUCGGCCGUGCGUAAUCCGCACCCACCCAGACCGGCUUCCCUCCCGGGGUGUCCACUCCACUCAUCUCUGCUCUUUUUGCUCUGAGUGAGUGAGCGGCCUCCGGGUGGCCGGUCAAGUUUGCUUUGAGGAAAUUAGAGUGAUCAAAGCGGACAUGUCCAGGGCUCACGCCCGUCCUCAUACUGUCGCAUGGAAUAAUGGAAUAGGACCUCGGUUCUAUUUCGCUGGUCUUUCGGAACGUGAGGUAAUGAUUAAUAGGGACAAACGGGGGCAAACGUAUUGCGGGGGGAGAGGUGAAAUUCGUGGAUCCUCGCAAGACGACCAAAAGCGAAAGCAUUUGUCAAGAAUGUUUUCUUUAAUCAAGAACGAAAGUCAGAGGCGCGAAGACGAUCAGAUACCGUCGUAGUUCUGACCAUAAACUAUGCCACUACCGGGCCCGCGGGAGUUACUACCAGGACUUCGCGGGAACGGCCUGGGAAACCAAAAAUUUUUGGGUUCCGGGGGUAGUAUGGUUGCAAAGCUGAAACUUAAAGGAAUUGACGGAAGGGCACCACCAGGAGUGGAGCCUGCGGCUCAAUUUGACUCAACACGGGAAACCUCACCCGGGCCGGACAUCGCUAGGAUUGACAGAUUGAAAGCUCUUUCUCGAUUCGGUGGGUGGUGGUGCAUGGCCGUUCUUAGUUGGUGGAGUGAUUUGUCUGGUUGAUUCCGAUAACGAACGAGACUCUGGCCGAUUAAAUAGUCCGGCGGUCGAGCUCCCGUCCUGCCGCGCAGGGCGGGCGUCGCCGGAUUGACACUUCUUAGAGGGACGAACGGCGGGAAGCCGCACGAGAUUGAGCGAUAACAGGUCUGUGAUGCCCUUAGAUGUCCGGGGCCGCACGCGCGCUACAAUGGAGGCAUCAGCGUGGCCAACCUUGCCCGCGAGGGCUGGGAAACCACAUGAAACGCCUACCGUAGCUGGGACCGGGGUUUGCGAUUGUCCCCCGUGAACGAGGAAUUCCGAGUAAGCGCGAGUCAUGAGCUGGCGCUGACUACGUCCCUGCCCUUUGUACACACCGCCCGUCGCUACUGUCGAUUGAACGUUUGAGUGAGGGCCUCGGACCGGCUCGCGGCUCGUUCCGCUAGAGCCGGGAAGACGCUCGAACUCGGUCGUUUGGAGAAAGUAAAAGUCGUAACAAGGUUUC